UCCACGCUCGAGCAUUUCUUGUUACAGAAGCCUUUCUGCCCUGCAACGCCGAAUAACCUAGGGUUUCCUAGAUGGACCCUCUCUCUCUCUGCAUUUUUCGGUGGAAUCUCUCUCCAUUGCAGAUCGAAAUCCCUCUUGUAGCAUCUGAUUUAGUGGGAACGCUCAAAUGUUUAUAUGCAAGUCCACAUGUGAUCAAGUACAAAGAUGAGAGAAAUGGAACAACUAGAAGAUGAGUGUUCUGUAGUUGGAGAACAUGUUAAAGCGAAUGAGGAAAAUGUUGCUCGUCUCAACAAGUUCAAAAAGUCAAUUGGUACAGAGAUUGCUUUACACUGAAGUAAUGUGAAUCCUGAAAGGGCUGUUUAGUAAAUAGAGGAACAAGUUGUGCAAAUGGUUAUGACGUUUUCUUAUUGUGCAGAGGAAUUAAUAUUCAGGUUUUCUCAGGACAUUGGAUCCAAGCAUUAAGUGCAACAUGGAAGUUAUUAAACAGCUUAAACAAAUAAAUGAAGAGCAGUGAGAAGGGAUGAUGGAAGAAUUAAAAAGUGUCAAACUAAGCAAAUUUGUGAGUGAAGCUGUGACAGCCAUAUGAGAUGCCAAGCUCAGGACUUGAAGACAUACAAGCAGCUGUUCAGUAGUUCUUUUUGACCUUCUACAUGCAUAUUCAUUGUUUAUCACAUCUAACAUCUUGAUUCAGGCUUACUAUGAACUUCUUGUGCCUGUAAAACAGUGAUAUGGAACUCGUGGACAUAAAACCUAUAUUCUGGUAAGCAUGUAGAAAAGCAUUACAAGUAAUCUGUAUCUACAGUUUAUUAGCUAGCUUAGAUUUUCUUUUCUUGUUGUAGAGGUUGUCCAAGCUAAGCAUUUUACUCAACUCUUUGAGUUUCCUUCUUUGAAAGAUAGGAGCUUCAAAUAUCCUCAUCUGAAUGAAACUGGAUCUUCCUGUGAAAUUAGAAAUAUCAACUUUGAGAGAAUGCAUUUAAUGCUUCCAUCUAGCAGCAUCCUUGUGGAACAGUUGGCCUACAAGCUUUGGGGAUGCCAAUGCUUCACAUGAUAAGAAGGGAGGUCUUGAAAAGAGGAGGGUUGCUAAGGUGGAUAUACAUAGGGAGGGAAGAGAUCAAUCAAGCCUAAGUCACUCAAGGAAGACUGGGUUAGGGUGAGAAGUUGAGAAAGUGCUAAAGAUGGUAAUGAAGAUAAUAGGGUUUUAUUAAAUAGAGGGAUUUUUUAUAUGAAGGUAAGGAGUUUAAAAAUUCACAAUUACCCUUCCCAAUCCACAUAAAUUCCAAUUAUUUUUAUUUUUGGGCAAGGAUUUGACACAAGGGCGGGUAAGAAUUUUAAUUUUCAAA